rnacentral:lncRNA from 1 species
CCAAGAAAUUAUUUAUUUAGUUCGGUCCAAAAUAUCAACUCUUUUCUUCACUAUAAUCAAUAUUUACAACGGGAUAUCAAAUGAGUUAAAAGAAAUUAGCGAAUUUCUACCCAUUUUUAUCCAAUCUAACAAGAACAAAGAUAUAAACAAUGAACUUCAUUCCAACGGUAUUUAUGAUGUGUUUACCAACAAAAGAUCUAUCCCAAAAAAAUCUAAAUAAUUAGAUCUUGAUCACCUAAUUAUUCCCCCUUUUUUCCUCACUAAAGUGUUUUCCAAAAGGAGAAAGUUAACUUGUGCCCUUAAGGCACAUGUUAAGGAAACAAAAAUAGAAAUUAUUAAAUGCUAAUUUGUGCAUUUUGACUUUUGAAACAUUAAAUUUCUUAUAUCAUUAAAUGUUAAAUUUCUAUUUUAGUAUAUCUUAACAUGUGCCCUUAGGGCACACGUUAACAAGACCCUUUCCAAAAUACUAGCCUCCAAAGUUAUAAAAGCUGUCAGAUUUUACAGAUAGUUACAACCAUGUUGGUCCAUGUGUCUCCACAAGAUCAAAUAUGCUCUGCGCAUAGUAAAAGAUGGUACUUCCUUUUGCUUUAUUUAUAAGCAAAAAUCAACAAAAAAAAAUUUUAACCUUAAAUAUAAGCAAAAGUUAUCAAAAGUAACUUCAUUAAAUGCUAUCAUUCCAAAAGUACCCCUAAUUAAUUGUUCAACUUUUUACUUGAUUGUAGAGUCUCAAUGCAAAUUUAAUACUAUUAGGAGGUUAUUUUAGGAAUUGUACUAAAAAGAGAAUUUUGGCUUACAAAAGAGACCGGAGGGAGUACAUCUGCUCCAUAUAAGUAGUAAUCCCUUUGUACCACAAUAUAUGUCACUUUAGGGAAAAAAUUUGUACCAUAAUAUAUGUCGCUUUAUAUUACCAAUGAAGCAUUUAAUGUUAUUUUUCCUAUUAUACCUUUAACUAUUUAUUACUCUCUAUUCUUUCAAUUCUUCAAUUUAUUUUUUCCAUACAAUAAAUGAAGCAAUUUCUAAUUAAUAAUAUACGAGAGAGCUCCGUGAAAAUUUUGUAAUAUAUAUUAUAGAGGUU